GUCGUAGCUCAGUGGUAGAACAUCUGCUUUGCAUGCAGAAGGUCCCAGGUUCAAUCCUUAGCAUCUCCA